CCCUUAGAUGUUCUGGGCUGCACGCGCGCUACACUGAUGCACUCAACGAGUUUACGACCUUGCCCGAUAGGGUUGGGUAAUCUUUUUAAAAUGCAUCGUGAUGGGGAUAGAUUAUUGCAAUUAUUAAUCUUCAACGAGGAAUUCCUAGUAAGCGCGAGUCAUCAGCUCGUGCUGAUUACGUCCCUGCCCUUUGUACACACCGCCCGUCGCUCCUACCGAUUGAGUGCUCAGGUGAAUAAUUCGGACUGCAGCAAUGUUUGGAUCCCGAACGUUGCAGCGGAAAGUUUAGUGAACCUUAUCACUUAGAGGAAGGAGAAGUCGAAACA
rnacentral:rRNA from 1 species